UACGUAGGGUGCGAGCGUUGUCCGGAAUUAUUGGGCGUAAAGAGCUUGUAGGCGGUUUGUCGCGUCUUCUGUGAAAAUCCGGGGCUCAACCCCGGACUUGCAGUGGGUACGGGCAGACUAGAGUGUGGUAGGGGAGACUGGAAUUCCUGGUGUAGCGGUGAAAUGCGCAGAUAUCAGGAGGAACACCGAUGGCGAAGGCAGGUCUCUGGGCCACUACUGACGCUGAGAAGCGAAAGCAUGGGGAGCGAACAGG
rnacentral:rRNA from 1 species